CGGCAGGCCUAACACAUGCAAGUCGAACGGUAACAGGAAGCAGCUUGCUGCUUCGCUGACGAGUGGCGGACGGGUGAGUAAUGUCUGGGAAGCUGCCUGAUGGAGGGGAUAACUACUGGAAACGGUAGCUAAUACCGCAUAAUGUCGCAAGACCAAAGAGGGGGACCUUCGGGCCUCUUGCCAUCGGAUGUGCCCAGAUGGGAUUAGCUUGUUGGUGGGGUAACGGCUCACCAAGGCGACGAUCCCUAGCUGGUCUGAGAGGAUGACCAGCCACACUGGAACUGAGACACGGUCCAGACUCCUACGGGAGGCAGCAGUGGGGAAUAUUGCACAAUGGGCGCAAGCCUGAUGCAGCCAUGCCGCGUGUAUGAAGAAGGCCUUCGGGUUGUAAAGUACUUUCAGCGGGGAGGAAGGGAGUAAAGUUAAUACCUUUGCUCACUGACGUUACCCGCAGAAGAAGCACCGGCUAACUCCGUG
rnacentral:rRNA from 1 species